rnacentral:rRNA from 1 species
AUACGGAGGAUGCAAGCGUUAUCCGGAUUUAUUGGGUUUAAAGGGUGCGUAGGCGGGACUUUAAGUCAGUGGUGAAAUCUUGCAGCUUAACUGUAAAAUUGCCAUUGAUACUGAAGUUCUUGAAUAUAGUUGAGGUAGGCGGAAUGUGUAGUGUAGCGGUGAAAUGCAUAGAUAUUACACAGAACACCAAUUGCGAAGGCAGCUUACUAAGCUAUUAUUGACGCUGAGGCACGAAAGCGUGGGUAGCGAACAGGAUUAGAAACCCUAGUAGUCC